ACUGGGUGCAGUGGUGUGUGCCUGUAGUUCCAGCUACUCGGGAGGCUGAGGUGGGAGGAUCGCUUGAGCCCAGGAGUUCUGGGCUGUAGUGCGCUAUGCCGAUCGGGUGUCGGCACUGUGUUCGGCAUUAAUAUGGUGACCUCCCGGGAGCGGGGGACCACCAGGUUGCCUAAGGAGGAGUGAGCCAGCCCAGGUUGGAAACGGAGCAGGUCAAAACUCCCGUGCUGAUCAGUAGUGGGAUUGCGCCUGUGAAUAGCCACCGCACUCCAGCCUCGGCAACAUAGCGAGACCCUGUCUCU
rnacentral:SRP_RNA from 1 species